CAUGGAACAGCUUAGUGCUGCAGAAGCGCAGCUGAAGAACUUCACCAACAGGACACUGCCGGAGGAGCAGCUCGUGUCUCUAGGAGACAGCAAGAACCUGCAGAAGGUGGUGCGAGAGGUGAUGGGACGCCUGUCCUCAAGAAAAAUCCAGGAGCAGUUCUCCGGCCCUUCUGGGCUACCAAGGAAAGUCAAGGUUCAAGGACGCCAUGACGUGUGCCAUACAAAGUCGCACUCGUGCAGCGUGGACGCGGUGCAGAAGUGGCUGACGGGCAGG